rnacentral:rRNA from 1 species
UGGGGAAUUUUGGACAAUGGGCGCAAGCCUGAUCCAGCCAUGCCGCGUGAGUGAAGAAGGCCUUCGGGUUGUAAAGCUCUUUCGCAAGGAAAGAAAACUUAGCUACUAAUACUAGCUGAGGAUGACGGUACCUUGAUAAGAAGCACCGGCUAACUACGUGCCAGCAGCCGCGGUAAUACGUAGGGUGCGAGCGUUAAUCGGAAUUACUGGGCGUAAAGCGUGCGCAGGCGGUUCGAUAAGUCUGAUGUGAAAUCCCCGGGCUCAACCUGGGAACUGCGUUGGAAACUGUCGAGCUAGAGUGUAGAAGAGGGGGGUAGAAUUCCACGUGUAGCAGUGAAAUGCGUAGAGAUGUGGAGGAAUACCGAUGGCGAAGGCAGCCCCCUGGGCUAACACUGACGCU